CCUACGGGCGGCAGCAGUGAGGAAUAUUGGUCAAUGGACGAGAGUCUGAACCAGCCAAGUAGCGUGAAGGAUGACUGCCCUAUGGGUUGUAAACUUCUUUUAUAUGGGAAUAAAAUGUUCCACGUGUGGGAUUUUGUAUGUACCAUAUGAAUAAGGAUCGGCUAACUCCAUGCCAGCAGCCGCGGUAAUACGGAGGAUCCGAGCGUUAUCCGGAUUUAUUGGGUUUAAAGGGAGCGUAGGUGGAUUGUUAAGUCAGUUGUGAAAGUUUGCGGCUCAACCGUAAAAUUGCAGUUGAAACUGGCAGUCUUGAGUACAGUAGAGGUGGGCGGAAUUCGUGGUGUAGCGGUGAAAUGCUUAGAUAUCACGAAGAACUCCGAUUGCGAAGGCAGUUCACUGGACUGCAACUGACACUGAGGCUCGAAAGUGUGGGUAUCAAACAGGAUUAGAUACCCCUGUAGUC
rnacentral:rRNA from 1 species